rnacentral:rRNA from 1 species
AUUGAACGCUGGCGGCAGGCCUAACACAUGCAAGUCGAACGGUAACAGGAAGCAGCUUGCUGCUUCGCUGACGAGUGGCGGACGGGUGAGUAAUGUCUGGGAAACUGCCUGAUGGAGGGGGAUAACUACUGGAAACGGUAGCUAAUGCCGCAUAACGUCGCAAGACCAAAGAGGGGGACCUUAGGGCCUCUUGCCAUCGGAUGUGCCCAGAUGGGAUUAGCUAGUAGGUGGGGUAACGGCUCACCUAGGCGACGAUCCCUAGCUGGUCUGAGAGGAUGACCAGCCACACUGGAACUGAGACACGGUCCAGACUCCUACGGGAGGCAGCAGUGGGGAAUAUUGCACAAUGGGCGCAAGCCUGAUGCAGCCAUGCCGCGUGUAUGAAGAAGGCCUUCGGGUUGUAAAGUACUUUCAGCGGGGAGGAAGGGAGUAAAGUUAAUACCUUUGCUCAUUGACGUUACCCGCAGAAGAAGCACCGGCUAACUCCGUG